GGGGAAUAUUGGACAAUGGGCGCAAGCCUGAUCCAGCCAUGCCGCGUGGGUGAUGAAGGCCCUAGGGUCGUAAAGCCCUUUCGGCGGGGAAGAUAAUGACGGUACCCGCAGAAGAAGCCCCGGCUAACUUCGUGCCAGCAGCCGCGGUAAUACGAAGGGGGCUAGCGUUGCUCGGAAUCACUGGGCGUAAAGCGCACGUAGGCGGACUCUUAAGUCGGGGGUGAAAUCCUGGAGCUCAACUCCAGAACUGCCUUCGAUACUGAGAGUCUUCGAGUUCGGGAGAGGUGAGUGGAACUGCGAGUGUAGAGGUGAAAUUCGUAGAUAUUCGCAAGAACACCAGUGGCGAAGGCGGCUCACUGGCCCGAUACUGACGCUGAGGUGCGAAAGCGUGGGGAGCAAAC
rnacentral:rRNA from 1 species